AUAAAGUGGCGAACGGCUGAGUAACACGUGGGCAAUCUGCCCUGCACUCUGGGAUAAGCCUGGGAAACUGGGUCUAAUACUGGAUAGGACCUUUCUCCUCAUGGGGUUUGGUGGAAAGUUUUUCGGUGCAGGAUGAGCCCGCGGCCUAUCAGCUUGUUGGUGGGGUAAUGGCCUACCAAGGCGACGACGGGUAGCCGGCCUGAGAGGGUGAUCGGCCACAUUGGGACUGAGAUACGGCCCAGACUCCUACGGGAGGCAGCAGCC
rnacentral:rRNA from 1 species